AGAGAAUCUCUUGAACCUGGGAGGCAGAGGUUGCAGUGAGCCAAGAUAUGUCACUGCACUCCAGCCUGGGUGACAGAG
rnacentral:snRNA from 1 species